rnacentral:rRNA from 1 species
GAUGAACGUUGGCGGCGUGCCUAACACAUGCAAGUCGAACGCUAGUAGCAAUAUUAGAGUGGCGCACGGGUGAGUAACACGUAGCUUAUCUACCUCCCAGCGCGGGAUAACGGUUCGAAAGAACUGCUAAUACCGCAUAAGCUCACGAGCUAUAGAGGCUGGUGAGAAAAGGCUUAGGUCACUGGGAGCGGGGGCUGCGGCCCAUCAGCUAGUUGGUGAGGUAACGGCUUACCAAGGCGACGACGGGUAGGGGACCUGAGAGGGUGACCCCC